UACGUAGGGGGCAAGCGUUGUCCGGAUUCAUUGGGCGUAAAGAGCGUGUAGGCGGCCAGGUAGGUCGGUUGUGAAAACUGGAGGCUCAACCUUCAGAGGUCGACCGAAACCAUCUGGCUAGAGUCCGGGAGAGGAGAGUGGAAUUCCUGGUGUAGCGGUGAAAUGCGUAGAUAUCUGGAGGAACACCGGUGGCGAAGGCGGCCUGCUGGGCAGUAGCUGACACUGAGGCGCGACAGCGUGGGGAGCAAACAGGG
rnacentral:rRNA from 1 species